GGGCGGCUAGCUCAACUGGCUAGAGCGACUGCUUUACACGCAGUAGGUUCGGGGUUCAAGUCCUCGGCCGCCCA
rnacentral:tRNA from 1 species